rnacentral:rRNA from 1 species
UAGGGAAUCUUCGGCAAUGGACGAAAGUCUGACCGAGCAACGCCGCGUGAGUGAAGAAGGUUUUCGGAUCGUAAAACUCUGUUGUUAGAGAAGAACAAGGACGUUAGUAACUGAACGUCCCCUGACGGUAUCUAACCAGAAAGCCACGACUAACUACGUGCCAGCAGCCGCGGUAAUACGUAGGUGGCAAGCGUUGUCCGGAUUUAUUGGGCGUAAAGCGAGCGCAGGCGGUUUCUUAAGUCUGAUGUGAAAGCCCCCGGCUCAACCGGGGAAGGUCAUUGGAAACUGGGGGACUUGAGUGCAGAAGAGGAGAGUGGAAUUCCAUGUGUAGCGGUGAAAUGCGUAGAUAUAUGGAGGAACGCCAGUGGCGAAGGCGGCUCGCUGGUCUGUAACUGACGCUGAGGCUCGAAAGCGUGGGGAGCAAACAGG